AGAGUCCUGAGUAUGAGAAGGUUACACCAACGAGGAUUUCUAAGUGGCGCUUCCAGGUACUGCUUGAAGGCGAGGGGGCCUAUGAGUGUUUGGCUACAGGUCUGGUGUUUGAAGUGUCGGAGCAGGCUCUGGUCCGCUACUCGGUCCUGUCCUGGUCUGAAUCCUCUAAGUUCCUCCAUGACUCCUGGAGACCUGCUGGAUCGGUUUAUGAUGUGGAUGUGGUCAACAAGGAUCCAUCUGUGCUCAAGUUUAUCCAUUUCCCACACUCUUUGUGCCUUGCUGAACCGGAGCAUGAGCUGAGCUUCAGUGUUCUGCAUGUAAAGGAUCGCCAUGCCAACAUUGAGUCGACGGUGGACUUCAUGGCGAGCCAUGUUAAAUGGAGCGUUUCCUCGCUUUCUCCUCCUGGGUCUCAUCCUUCCGAGCAGUCUGCAGGUGAAGCACCAUGCGUUGGUGCUGAUUUACAAGGAGCGGAUCACAUACCAAAAAAAGAUAUCAAUCUUCCACGUGUUUUUGGCCUGGAACAACGUCUCUGUUAGGCCUUUCACACCAAAAAGAACCAAGAGCCAGUUCCGGGCUGGUGCUAGGGCCAGUUCAAGACUGGUUCCAGCCUUAUCCCAGUCAUGAACCAGUUGGUUUCACAUCGGCCAGAGCCAGCCAUGGAGCCGGCGAGAGCAACGUCAUGACGUCACUGCAAACGUCUGCAUACAUCUCCGCUUUCAAAGAUAGCCUUUGUCCGGGUUGCUCCCUCUAACUUCUUCUUGACCUCGGAAGAAGACCAGAAUCCAAGGAGACAGGUUGUCUCCUCCACGGUCCACUGCGUUUUCAUCUUCACGUCCAUUGUUUACUUCAGUGUUUUUAAAAAAGGCCGGUCUUCGUUGGUCUUCCUGUUUAUGAAGGUAAGGAUAACCCCGCCCCCUGCCCCUGGCGUAAAGGCAGUUCUCUUUCUAGCCCAGCACAAUCCUGGGUUUGGAGUUGAACCGUUUUUUACAGGCCGGAGGCGGUUCUCUGGCAUUGUGAAACCAAAACACUGGCUCCUGCUCCAAACUAGCCCGGAACGGGCUCCGGUUUUGCGGCGGUGUGAAAGGCCCAUGAGAUCCAGGUGAUGAAGCAAAACGGAUGAGAGUCCCUGUGUGUUGAUAAACCGGAUAAACGGACAGACUACACUAAACUAAGGCUAUGCUAAGAUGAAAAAUUAGAAAUUGUUAAUAAAUUGUUGGCAUCUAAGGGAUUUUUUGAAGUACGCUUCAGUGAGCGUCCUCCUUUCGAAUUGUUUCUGAAGGACUCUGACUCUGAUGAGCCUUUGUGGUCUGCUACAAUCAGAGAAGGAAACCAAUGGACACAACUGGAAUUGUUUUUGUGGUUUGCAUCGUAAGACUCUGAUGAUCUUUUCUGUGACAAAUUCUAGAGGAUUGGAAAUUCAAGAUGAAACCAAGGGUAAAAACAAGACGUAGGUUAUUACCUUUGAAGAAGACCCAAGUGGCAAACACCAGACCGGGAGAUACAUUUUUCUUUGUUAUGCUGUGUUCUUUGGAUCAUUGUUGGUGUUCCAAUCGGAUAGUAGGAUUAUAAGGCACGUUUAAUCAGCCAUAACAUCCCCCUUCUCUUCAGGAGAGCAGAGCCAAGGACAAAAGAGCAGUCAGUCAGUCAGGUGAGUCAUGGAAGAUGUUUAAACUAUUAAACGUUGUGUUGCAUCGAGCCAAAACAUUAAUAUUAAUAAAAGCUACUGUUGUUGACCAGUAAUCAAUGUAUUGUUAAAGGGAUACUUCACCGGUGGAGAUAUGAAGGUUAUAUGAACUAAAUAAUUCUAUGUAUUACAAAUGUGCAAAAGAAAUGAAAUGAAAUGGGUUCAUCCUAGCCUGAGAAAAGGCAAAAAGUGUCUCUCUGGCUCUCAAGUAAGAAAUCCUCCAACUACCACAGUGCAUUGCGCUGGCUGCACCGCCCGCCUGUUUCCGUUUGUAGGGGGAAGGACACGUGGUACUAGCACGAGUGGUAGCGCGAGCAAACUUUGAGUAAACAUAUCCCCGUGAUGAUACGUUCUAGUUUAGACUUCUGCCCCCGUUUUUUCAACCGCAUCAUUUGUAUAUUACUGUACAGCAUAAAAACAUUUGCUAAUUACAGUAGCUCAACAUAUCAAGUAUUUGUACUCAAACUUUUCUCCCCAGUUGAAAUAAGUGUUUAUCUUAUACAGUAGGCAUACUUUAGUAUAACAGCACUUGGGUAAGUAAACAAAUCACAACAACCAACACGAAUUUGAAGUUUUGCUAAUUUUGUGUGUGACAAAGUGGGGGUGAAAAACGGUUUUAUAUUUACCCCAAUAAAGAAGUUUAAUUAAUCAUCUAUCGUGAUUGCACGCCAUCAUUAGGUAUUCAGAGUAUCUGUUGAUAUGUAAGGUUAUUUCAUAUUGCCUUUUUAUUCCAGGGGAACUUCAAAGGAUCUAUUCUGAAUGUGUGCAGAGAGUUUCAAUCCCAGUUAUCAGAGGUCUCCUGGAUGACCUUUGGUAGCAGAAAGUGUUCAGUACUGAGGACAAGGACACUGUGAUGGAGAACCACAAGAUCAGAGCGGACCGAGCACGGAGUCUGAUUGACAUGGUGAUCAGACAGAGGGACCUUGAAUUAUGCAUCACCUUGGGCCUGAUCUCUUCUCCCUAAGUAAUUUUAGUCAUUUUAAAGAAACUCACUGCCAACUUUGUUUUGACAAGACAAGCUGAAAAAGUAAUUGCUGCUGUCCAUUUCAGAAUAGGUCCUCCUUCCUGGGCUACUACAUGUGUACCAAGCUGUUCCCCUCAGGUACCUCCUAUAUCCAAGUAUAGAUAGGAAUUUUGUUACAUUUUAUUAAAAUAAUUUUAGUAUGGUUGUUAUCAUGGAGUUUAAUAAAUAAAGUUGAUUAUGCCAAAGAAAGAAAAGAUUUUUGCUUAUCUGGACAUUUGUAACAAUCCACUGAAUUUUAUUAGGGUUGGAUUUUUAUUUAUUUAUUAUUUUAUAAUUUUUUAUAUGUUAUCAUGGAUAUGACUAAAAUCCAACUUGCGGGGUUUCACAAUAACAUUAGCCUGACCAGGGCCCCGUUUCCCGACAACGAUGGAUCCACGCUCGUACGAUCAUUCUCACGAUGGAUCUUGCGAUCCAUCGUCAAUUUCUUUGGAGCGUUUCCCCGAAACUCCUCUUAACAUGAACGCGCGCGUUCACUGCACUCACAACUUUUGUAGGAUUGUAACUGUCUACGGACACGGUGCUGAAAUGUGCUCCAUAGGAGGGGGAGACGCAGGAAUGUCGCAGGAAAAUGGGGUUAAAAAAUCACACCAUCAAGGCCAACAGCAGAGUAGCAUACGAAAAGAAUAGACUGCUUAUAUGAAUGCUAAAGAUAUUAAAACACAAUUGAUUAGGCCUAGGCCGACCUAUGCAUCAGUCCUAAUCCUGAAUGCAGUGUGCAUACAUUUUUUCACGGCAUUUCCCCCCCUGGAAUAAUUCCAUAUUAACAAAAAUCAAAAAUAGCUUGUGUGACAACUACAUGUAUCUUAAUGUGCUGAUUUCUGAAACGUGCUUUGCACAGCAA